AAAGCUAAAGGAAUCAAAAUCUUCUGAAACAAAACAUUGUUCUCGUUUGUAAUGGGAGAUUUCGCGUGCGUCUCUUUGAAACCAUCUUCACAAGUGCCCGGUUCAUCCAAAGCAGCACUCAGAUCCACAUUAGCACUUUUGUAAUCGGCGGAUUUAACGUUCAUCAAAGCUUCAUUUAAAGAAUUAUUAGCAUCGUCAUAAAGCUCUACGCAAGUGCUUAAUGCAGGUUCAGUACCCGGUGGAUACGUUUUGUUCUUGAGAAUAGUCUCAACUAUCCCUUUCAAGUUAGUUGUUUUGGACUCAGCGUUAGUAGUUGACGCUAGGACCAAUCCUGAUAGACUAGUUGCAGUUUUGCUUUGCGGAUCUUGUUCAAGUGAUUGGACGCAAAAAUCAUAAUUGAGAUUAGGGUCUUUUGCUGCAGCUGUUUUGCAGGAAUCUCGAAUCAAGGUUUGUGCGGCUGCGAAACAGUUUAGGAGGAGAAAGAACAUUACAACUGAAACGAAGAACUUCAUGAUUUUGUUUUCUUUGUGAGAGAUGAGAAGAGAUGAAUAUGAUGUUAACUUUGUGAUUCACAAGGCUGAUAUAUAUAUAUAUAUAUAUAUAUAUAUAUAUAUAUCUGACGUAAGGGUAUAUGUCAUUGUUUCCUGUUGUCUUGUGUGUUAUAAACUUAUGAUAAAAAGAAUAUUUCAGUUUUAAUAAGAAGAUAUUAUUUCAUAUUAAGAACUAUGUUUACAUUUUUAAAAACUAUAAUAUAUUCACUUGGACUAUUUCUCAAAUUGUCAAUUUAUCUGAACCUGGUCAAUAUGUAACAAUAGUUUUCUAUAUAUACACGUUGUCAGAUUUAGUCAACUCUCAGAGCAUCAUUACUGGUUCAAUUUCUUAGUGGAGUACCUGAUGAGUUUAAUAUUAAUAGAGUUUUAUUGUGUAAUUAAAAUUAAACCCAAUGAUAUGUACAUAACCAUUCGUAAAGUAACAUGUGGCAUAAAUCUCUGAUAAACUUGGCAAAGUCUAUGUGCGACGAGACGUUUCUUCCCAUUUGACGCGCUCUCUCUCCUGCUUUAUUAAUUUUUAUUAUUAUAAAUGUCAGUCUCAUGAGUUACUCUUCCACUGCAUGUGCUCUUACUUUCCAAAUCAUACAUAAAAUAUCAAAAAUGAGAUCUCUUCUACCGUUAUUAAAAAACAAAAACAUACCUUUUAAUAUUGAUUUUCUCAAAAAUCAUAUUUGAGAUUAGGGUCUUUUGCUUCAGCUGUUUUGCAAGAAUCUCGAAUCAAGGUUUGUGCGGCAGCGAAACAAUUUAAGAGGAGAAAAAACAUUACAACUGAAACGAAGAACUUCAUGCUUUUGUUUUCUUUGUGAGAGAUGAGAAGAGAUGACUAUGAUGUUAACUUUGUGAUACACAAAGCUGUUAUAUAAAUAUAUAUAUAUAUAUAUAUAUAUAUAUAUAUAUAUAUAUAUAUAUAUAAUGUAAGGGUAUAUAUUCUCCUUUCUUAUAUGUCAUUAUUUCCUGUUUUCUUGUUUGUUAUGAAUUUAUCAUAAAGAGAAUAUUUCAGUUUUAAUAAGAAUAUACUAUUCCAUAUUAAGAACUCGAUUUACAUUUUUUUUAAAUCAUAAUAUAUUCACUUUUAAGGAUUAUUUCUCAAAUUAUAAAAAUCAUAAUAUAUUCACUAAUUUUUAAAAUCCGGGUCCCUAAGGUUGUGAUAUAAGGACAGACCUUCACUUCUUUCUUGCACUGUUCACGGGCCCCCACUGACACGUGGGGGCCCGGGAUUGGUUCGCUUUCUAAUUUUUUUUAGCAGACCAAAAAAAAAUCAAAAAAACCUUCCUAUGAAACAGCGCAGACCCAUCUCAGCGUUAAUCACAUGCUCUUAGCUUUCCAUAUCAUACAUAAAAUAUCAAAAAUGAGAUGUCUUCUACAAUUAUUAAAUAUAUAUAUAUAUAUAUAUAUAUAUAUAUAUACCUUUUAAUAUUGAUUUUCUCAUCAAUUUUUCAUAUAGAGGUCGACAUCCAAAAAUAUUAAAUAAAAGAAUGUGUAUUCACUAAAUAUUUAAGUAACAUCUGUAUCACGAAAAACCUUCAAUCUCAUUAUUUAUUCAUCACGCAAAAAAAUGAUCAGUACUACUCGUAAAAAAAGUGAUGUUGUGCAUUUUUAAAAAUAAAUAUUUAAUUAUUAAAAUAAAAAUAAAAAUACAGACACUAUAGAAAAUUAAAUAAAAGAAAAUUCCUCAAAAACAAAAAAAAUUGAAAAUUAAAAAAUAAAUCAAAAUAUUCAAACAAUUUUUCAAUAAGUUAAAAAAAGAUUGAAAACUGAAAAAGUUACAGAAAAAAAUAUUUUAAAAUUUUCCUCACAUGUCAUCGUUGAUAAUAAUGAUUUCUGACAUAUCACUAAUGACGAUGACAAUGACAGUGAUAUGUUGAAAACCGUCAACUCAUCGGUUUGUCAACGAUGUUAAGUCGAAAAUUGUGAUCAGACACAUAAAGUAUUUUAAUUUUCUGUCUUUUUGCAAAUACUAUUUUAGUGUUUAAUAAUUUCAAUUUUCAAAUAGUAGCAAAAAUUUCCAAUAAUAUAAUGUUCCUUUGCUAUUAUUUAUUAUUAGAUAAAGGAAAAUUCAUAUCACAUAAUACAAGAAGUUAUGGUAAUUUCAUCAGAGCAUAUUUGUAAAAGCUAAAGGAAUCAAAAUCUUCUGAAACAAAACAUUGUUCUCGUUUGUAAUGGGAGAUUUCGCGUGCGUCUCUUUGAAACCAUCUUCACAAGUGCCCGGUUCAUCCAAAGCAGCACUCAGAUCCACAUUAGCACUUUUGUAAUCGGCGGAUUUAACGUUCAUCAAAGCUUCAUUUAAAGAAUUAUUAGCAUCGUCAUAAAGCUCUACGCAAGUGCUUAAUGCAGGUUCAGUACCCGGUGGAUACGUUUUGUUCUUGAGAAUAGUCUCAACUAUCCCUUUCAAGUUAGUUGUUUUGGACUCAGCGUUAGUAGUUGACGCUAGGACCAAUCCUGAUAGACUAGUUGCGGUUUUGCUUUGCGGAUCUUGUU
rnacentral:lncRNA from 1 species